UUUUCCUUUCUGACAUCCAGAGGAUCCUGAGACAGAGAAAGGGUUUGUGUCAGGCAUGGUCGAUACUUUUGCAAGUGGAACACAAGCUCUGGGAAAUUUGUACGAUGAAAUCAUGGAAUCGUUUUUUCGUAGACGAAGAGACAGCUCUACCAGAGAGCAGCAGGAGGAGGGUCAUAGGCUUCCAGGCAUCCAUCCAAGGAGUAGGAAGUGAACUGUCACAGGCACUAACACCAAUAAUAUAUUGUGUUUCAACACAACAAAGACUUUCAGAAGACAACACUGGAUGAGAAUGAGAAUGAUGGAAGCCUUAGCACCCAGAUGUUCCACUCUGCCAUCACACAGUCUGUGUC